UACGGGGGGUGCGAGCGUUGUCCGGAAUCACUGGGCGUAAAGGGCGCGUAGGUGGCCUGAUAAGGGUGUGGUGAAAGUCCGGGGCUCAACCCCGGAUCGGCCGUGCCGACUGCUAGGCUAGAGUACUGUAGGGGCAGGCGGAAUUCCGGGUGUAGCGGUGGAAUGCGUAGAGAUCCGGAGGAAGACCGGUGGCGAAGGCGGCCUGCUGGGCAGUUACUGACACUGAGGCGCGACAGCGUGGGGAGCAAACAGG
rnacentral:rRNA from 1 species